rnacentral:siRNA from 1 species
UUAUAAUAUAGGUACAAU